rnacentral:rRNA from 1 species
AGUGAACGCUGGCGGUAGGCCUUACACAUGCAAGUCGAACGGCAGCACAGUAAGCGCUUGCUCUUCCGGGUGGCGAGUGGCGGACGGUUGAGGAAAACAUCGGCAUCUACUUUUUCGUGGGGGGUAAAGUAGGGAAACUUACGCUAAUACAGCAUACGACCUACGGGGGAAAGCAGGGGAUCUUCGGCCCUUGCGCGAUUGAAUGAGCCGAUGUCGGAUUAGCUAGUUGGCGGGGUAAAGGCCCACCAAGGCGACGAUCCGUAGCUGGUCUGAGAGGAUGAUCAGCCACACUGGAACUGAGACACGGUCCAGACUCCUACGGGAGGCAGCAGUGGGGAAUAUUGGACAAUGGGCGCAAGCCUGAUCCAGCCAUACCGCGUGGGUGAUGAAGGCCUUCGGGUUGUAAAGCCCUUUUGUUGGGAAAGAAAAGCAGCAGGUUAAUACCCCGCUUCUCUGACGGUACCCAAAGAAUAAGCACCGGCUAACUUCGUG